UUAAGUUCAGUGGGUAGUCCUACCUGAUUUGAGGCCAAGUUGUCAAAAGUUGCCAGCACUCGAAGUCUGCGCUAAUUAGAAGCGUAUCAACAGCUAGCGGCGGCCAGCACAACAAGUUGCACUGUCCUCGACGGAGAUCUUAUCACGUCGAGUAGAACCACCUCUAGAGGAUUCAGCUAAUGUAUUUCAAGUGAGCCGAU
rnacentral:misc_RNA from 1 species